rnacentral:rRNA from 1 species
GUCUUCUUGUUAUAUUUAGGAAGUCUGGCCUGCCCAGUGAAAAUAAUUUAACGGCCGCGGUAUCCUGACCGUGCAAAGGUAGCAUAAUCAUUAGUCUUUUAAUAGAGGGCUGGUAUGAAGGGUUUAACGAGGUGUUGACUGUCUCAUUUAAUUUGUGUUUAGAAUUUAAUUUUUUAGUUAAAAAGCUAAAAUAUUAUUGGAAGACGAGAAGACCCUAUAGAGCUUUAUAUUUUUAUUAUUAAUUUAUUAUAGUUUAUUAUUAUUUAUUAUUAAUAAAAUUAUUUUGUUGGGGUGACAAAAAUAUAUAAAUAACUUUUUUAUUUUAUUUACAUUGAUAUAUGAAUAUUAGAUCCAAUCUUAUUGAUUGUUAGAUUAAGUUACCUUAGGGAUAACAGCGUAAUCCCUCUCCAGAGUUCAUAUUUACAGAGGGGCUUGCGACCUCGAUGUUGGAUUAAGAUAAUAAUUAGGUGCAGCCGCUUAAUUAAUAGGUCUGUUCGACCUUUAAAUUCUU